rnacentral:rRNA from 1 species
UACGUAGGGUGCAAGCGUUGUCCGGAAUUAUUGGGCGUAAAGAGCUCGUAGGCGGUCUGUCGCGUCUGCUGUGAAAACUCAGGGCUUAACCCUGAGCUUGCAGUGGGUACGGGCAGACUAGAGUGCGGUAGGGGAGACCGGAAUUCCUGGUGUAGCGGUGAAAUGCGUAGAUAUUCGGAAGAACACCGGUGGCGAAGGCGACCUUCUGGGCCGCAACUGACGCUGAGGCACGAAAGCCUGGGGAGCGAACGGG